UACAGGGGGUGCAAACGUUGCUCGGAAUCAUUGGGCGUAAAGCGCACGUAGGCGGUCUGGUAUGUCGGAUGUGAAAGCCCUUGGCUUAACUGAGGAAGUGCAUCCGAAACUGGCAGGCUAGAGUACUAAAGAGGGUCGCGGAAUUCCCGGUGUAGAGGUGAAAUUCGUAGAUAUCGGGAGGAACACCAGUGGCGAAGGCGACUUCCUGGCCUGUUCUUGACGCUGAGGCGCGAAAGCUAGGGGAGCAAACGGG
rnacentral:rRNA from 1 species